CCCAGAUCUGUAGUGGUGCCUCUAGCACUGCGAUGCAAUGCCUUAGACCCCUGCGCCACUCAGACCUCCAGCAGCUCAUUGUCUCUAAGGAAGCGGUUCCCCCUGAGCAGCAACACUGUGAGAAGGAAUGGAGCCCCAAUCUGGGGCAGGAGGUAAAAGAGGAACAGGAAGAACUCCGGACCAGUCAAGUGGAAAAGCAGCUUCAAGGGCUGGAGGAAGAGUUCAUAUUCUCUCCUGCCUUUGUGAAAAGUCACUAUGAUCAGGUUUCAAGUUGGACCUCACAUUUUCCCAGCACCUCAAAUGAACAGAUCAACACAGAAUCUGAUGGAGAGGACUACAGAUUAUUUGAACCAACCAGUGACUCCCAGACCCUCGCUGCAAUUAAUCUAGACUGUUCUGUAGCUAACUCCAUGGGUUCUCUAGUUUGUCAUAUGAAAAUGCAUGCGAAGGACGCAGACGAUAGUGGUGUGUG